rnacentral:lncRNA from 1 species
UUUUGUUUUCACUGGGUUUCUGUUGUUCUGCCGGAAGGCUGCAGAAGGCAGUCACAGGAGUCCUGGUUGAAGGCUUGGGUGGCAGGAGGAUUGUAAGUGUGGAAUAUGGGGCCACCCAUGAUGGGGCAGCACCGAGGGGUUAUGGGGGAGGGACCCAGGGAGGGAGCAGGAGGGGUGGAACAUGCCUCUUCCCUGUCUGUUCCAUCCCAGGGUUUUGAUGGCUGAGGUGGAGGAAGGGGCAGCGGUAGAGCUCCAGGGACUUCCCCCUGACAUGCCAGAGGAACUGCUCAUGCUGUACUUUGAGAACCGCCGGCGCUCCGGUGGGGGGCCUGUGUUGAGCUGGCAGAGACUUGGCUGUGGGGGUAUCCUUACCUUUCGAGAGCCUGCAGGUGAGGGAGCUGGCUAAAGGGGGCAGCCUGGGAACCCUGAUACCCUAAUGACACUGACGUCCCACCCCUGCUCACAGAUGCCAAAAGGGUCUUGGCCCAGGCAGAGCACCGACUACAUGGUGCCAGACUGAGCCUGCACCCAGCUCCACCACGCGCCCCUGCACGUCUGCUUCUCCAAGGAUUACCACCUGGCACUGUGCCACUGCGCCUGGAGCAGCAUGUCCAGGCCCUGCUGAGUGCCAUGGGGCACCCAGUGCAGUCCUGCCAUGCCCUGGCCAGUCCCAGGCCUGAUCGGGCCCUGGUCCAGCUGGCCAUGCCCCUUUCUGAGGCAGGUGAGAGGCCUGAAUGGGGCUGAGGUGCUGGUUAGGGGAGGUACACCAAGCUGACUUGCACCCUUCCCACAGAAAUUCAUGUCCUGGAGGAACAGGCCCGGAAUACGGACCUGGAUGGGGCUAUGGUGUCAGUGACCUGGGUGCCUCAGGCCCGAGCUGUGCGUGUGGUGAGGGGCACACCCCCUUUGGACAUGCUGCUGCUAGAGUUGUACCUGGAGAAUGAGCGCCGCAGUGGUGGGGGGCCCCUGGAGGGCCUGCGCAGCCUGCCGAGACAGCUGGGCACUGUUGUCUCCUUCCAGCAGUGGCAGGGUGAGUGGGCUGGGCAGACACAUGGGACCCUUCCUCUUUCACAAAAACUUGAUAGGCUUUCUGUCUUCUUUCCUCCAAGUGGCUGAACGGGUGCUGCAGCAGGACCACUGGCUGCAGGGCUCAGAGCUGAAACUUGUCCCCCACUAUGACAUCUUGGAGCCUGAGGAGCUUGCUGAGGGCACCAAAGGAAAGGAUAACCCAUCCAUGCUGGGAUCUGAGCAUGCUCUCCUGGAGACUAGAGGGCUGGCAGAAACCCUGAAGUGUGCAGGGGCUGUGACUGUGGGUUCUGGGGAGGCACCAGGGCAAUUGGAAGCCUUUCUGAGGACAGGUCUUCAGGCUGUGCCAGUUGGCUUGGAUCCCGUGGGAUGUCCAGAGCAAGAGGGGCCUAUGGGAUCUCUGGAGCAGGAAGGGCCUGUGAGCUUGGGGACUGUGGGGUCUCCAGAGCAGGCUGGGCUCAUGAGUCUGGGGCCUAUGGGGUCUGCAGGCUCAGUGGGCCCAGUGGAGGUCUCUAUGGAGUUGCUGGGACAAGUGAAGCUCAAGGGCCAGAGACCCAUGGGGCUUCUGGCACAGGAGAGCCUGAUGGAAGUUGCCAGGGGCUCACCAGGUCAGGAGGGGCUGGUGGGUCCAGAAGAGAUUGCCCUGGAAUCUGCAGAGAAGGUUGGGGUGAAGAGCCCUGGGCAUAUGGGGCUUCAGGGUCAGGAGGGCCUGGUAGAGAUGGUGUUAUCGAUGGAGCCAGGAGCUAUGCGCUUCCUACAGCUUUAUCAUGAGGACCUUCUUGCCAGCCUGGGAGAUGUCGCUCUUUUCCCACUUGAAGGAAUGGAGGUGACUGGCUUUCGGGUGAGUGACCCAUAGAAAUUCCUCACUUUUGCCUCCUUUUCCCACUGGGGCUCUGGGUACCUUUCCUGUACCCUGAAUCUGCAUACUGUUCCUCUCUCAUGGUCCUGCAGCUCUGUGGAGCCCAGGCCUCAUGCCAGGUGGCCCAGGAGUUGCUGCAGAGUCUGCUGGGUAGCAUCAGCUGCCAUGUGCUGAGCCUGAAGCACCCAGGCAGUGCCAGGUUCCUGCUGGGUGUGGAGGGGCAGCACCUUUUGCAGGGUUUGGAGGCUCAGUUCCAGUGUGUCUUUGGGACAGAGCGUCUGGCCAGUGCCAACCUGGUCAUGGACCCUGAAGAGGUAGAGAUGAAGUUCUUCCCUAUCUCUCUCCUGUCUUACUCUCCAGCUCCAGGUACCCCCUCUCCCUUGCCCAAAGGCUAGUGACCCUGAUAUCCUUUCCCCACAGGUGGAUUCCACUGAGAUCCUUCAGGUCCUCCCUGGCCACAGCCAUACCUGGUGGCCCACAGAUAGUACAGGCAGUGACCAGGAGAACAUGAGCCUGGGUAGGGCUCCCUGGUAGGGGCCCCCAGCAUGUCCUGUGGUCCUUUUUUGACCCUGCUCUCUGCCUUGCUCUGAACUCUUACCUCUCUAGUGACCCUUCCCAGGCCCAUCCUCUACCCUCAAACUCACUCCAUCUUUCAUCCAUUCCAUCUCAUCCUGUUUUUCAAUACCAUCCUGGCUGGACCUGACUCAUGACCCAGUGUUCUCUCCCUACCCUCAGAGGAAGUCCGAGAGCUGCUGGCAACCAUGGAAGGCUUCGAUAGGGAGAACUGGUUGUCCCUGGAGCUGGGAGAGGAGGGACCUGAGGACCAGCCAGAAGAGGCAGCAACUUCAGGGAAGGAGGAUGAAGAACCCACACCUGGGGCUGGGGAGAAGCCUGUGAGCCUCAGCACUGGGGCAGCUGGGCAGCUAGAGGAGGAAGCUGCACUGCAACUGGCCCUCCAUCGGUCACUGGAGCCUCAAGACAAGGUUGCUGAGCAGGAGGAAGCUGCUGCACUAAGACAAGCCCUGGCCCUCUCCCUUUUGGAGCAACCCCUGUUGGAAGCAGAAGAGUCCCUGAAUGGAGGAACUGGUAGUGGGGCCCAGCUGGUGGUGCAUGCACCCUUUGAGCAGGAUAUAGAUGAGUUGGAACAAGCAUUAACAGCUGCCUUGGAGGUACACCUGAAUAAGGAGACUGUGAGACACCCAGGCCGUGUGCUGCCCACAGAGCUGUGUGCUCGCCUGGGGCAGUGCCAUGGUGUGAAUGUUGCCCUGCGUGGUGAUUGCACUGUCUUUUGUGGCUUUGGAGCCCAACCUGCCCGUGCGGCACGCCACUUCGCUGUGCUACUUGCUGGCCCCUGGGAUCAGAGUUUGGCCUUUCCCUUGGUGGCUUCAGACACUACUUGUGAGUCUGUGCUUUGGACUAGGAGAGGGCAGGUGGCUGACUAUUGGGCUAGUGUGUAAGCAUGGCCCUGAUGUCCUUUCUUUCUACAUAUCAGUGCUAGAACAGAGGCUGAAAAGGCCACUGGGAAAGCUGGAGGGCCUGGAAGAGAGCACCAAGGAAUUCCAAAAUGUGGUGAAGGCUUUCUAUGACACCCUGGAUACUGCCCACAGCAGAAUCCGCAUCAUACGGGUGAGUCUAUACUCUGUCUCACAGGUCUCGGUGAGACUUGCCUGCAUCAGAGUCUGCUGUCCAGGACCUGCUCAGCAGACAGGCUAGAGACUGAGGUAGGGACAGGAGAGCACUGGGGCCUGAGGGAGGCUCUCUGCAAGGAACUAUGUGAGAUGCUCUGUACACCUCAGUUUCCCUGCCUGGACUAUGGAAUGGUGAUGCUCUCUUGACCACUGUGAGAGCUACUUAUUCCCAUAAAUGAGUAACUUGUCCUGUUCUAGGGGCUCUUCUGUCUCCAACUGGGGCCAGGGCUCCCUGCAGUGUGGUGACCUCUUCUUGGCUUGUUUGUUUGUUUAUUGUGAGGCUAGGGAUCAAAGUCAGGGCCUCCAGCAUACUAGACAAGUGCUCUACCACUGACCUACAUCCUCAGCCCCUUUUCUUGUCUUCUAACUUACUAAAUUUGGCAACCCUGAAAAUGGACUUGUUUUCAAAAAAGGCUGGGAAAAAUUGGUGGGGAGUUAGAGUGAAGCCCCAGGAGCCACUACCUGUCCAGGAAGGUGAAGAAGAACCAAGAAGGAGGGACUAGAGAGACCAGAGAGGUUUACAGAAGACAUAGGUUGGGGCAGGGGUGCACAAGAUGAGUAGGAACCACAAUAUCUUCCCUGCCCAAAGGAAGGACUAAGGAGGGAGUGUUGGUCAGGAUGGUCUAUCAGGGAGUUAGUGUGGGGAGGGGGCAAAGAGUAAAUGGGGGAUGAGGGCAGGAACAACUCUGGAAAUAGGCUGGGUAAGAGGGAGAAGGAUAGAGAUAGAAGUAGAUAGAAGAAGUCCAGGGUUGAAGAAGUUUCUGAUCCAGAAAACAGUGUGCUCAUAACUGAGGGAUGAAUCCAAGAGAGGGCUGGCCAUAGACAGAUGAGAAGGACAGAGGAGAGCUUGAGUCACUGUGCUGGUAAGCCUGGGCAGAGAGUUCUCCCCUCUUGAUGCUCAGUUAUGGGUACAGCCAGCAGCAGCAGCCUCCACCUAGAGCUGGUCAUAAAUGCAGAACCUCUGGUCUUCCCCAAGGUUGGGGAAGUCACCUACAACCUGACCUACUUACCCACUUCCAUCACCAUUACCACCACCACCAUCACCACCACUACCAUCAUCCCACCACCACCACCACCAUCCCACUGGUGACAGUUACCACCAUCACUGUCACCACCAACAGCAUUCCACUAGUACAAUCACCACAAUCACCACUAUCCCACCACCACCACCAUCCUACCACUAUAGUUAUAAAAAAUAGAACCAUAGUAAGUAAAGUAAAUGAAAUCCUAUUAUUAAAACUACUGCAUGAAAGAAAGUGUUCUAAGCUUAUCUUGUGAUUUUUUACUUCAUUUUUUUUCUUGGUUGUGCUUGGCUGCUAGGGUACUUUGUGCCUCCUCAAUACCCUCUUUUUGGAGGAAGGGGUACCAGGGAUUGAACUCAGGGCACUCGACUCCUGUGCCACAUCCCCAGCCCUAUUUUGAAUUUUAUUUAGAGACAGGGUCUCACUGAGUUGCUUAGAGCCUCGCUUUUGCUGAGGCUGGCUUUAAACUUGUGAUCCUCCUGCCUCAGCCUUCAGAGCCGCUGGGAUUACAGGUGUGCACCUCCGAGUCUGGCUUGAUACCCUCUUGUGUGAAUUCUGUUCUUGAGUAAGGAGUAUCUCUGAGUGGGUAGUGAACAUUUUGACUUUUAAGUUUAAAAAUAACUUUUAUAAUUAGAAGUAUUUUACAAUUCUAAUUUGAGUUGAUAUAAACUUUCUAUGUUGUUAAAUGUUCUAACUUGUCUUUAUUUCUACAUUCUUCAUUAAUAAUUUUGCUGGGAUACACUGUUCAGGUUCAAAAGAUAUUUGCCCUCAGACUUUUGAAGACUUUGCUCUUUUUUAAAUUUUAAGAUUCUUUUACCCUACAAACUUAAAAACAUAAAUAUCUCCAUGGUUUCUUAGUAUCCAGCAUUGGUGAGAUACUCAAUGUGAGAUUUCUUCCCAUUUGUACAUUAACCUUGAUAGUGGGUGUGUGGGUGGGUGGGGUGUGGGUGUAUACAUUUGAUAAGUUUUCUUCACUUCAAGGGUAAGAUUUUCCUGUCAGGUGCCAGGAAUAUGUCCUUCACAUUGUCCUUCGUGGCAUUUCAUGGGUCCUCCCAUCUGGAGAUGUUACCUUUCUGCUCGUCUUCCAUUGUGUUCCCAGGAGCCCCCACUCUUGCCUGUUGUCUUUUCCUGGAGCUCCUGAGAGGCAGAACUUAGACCUCUUCCACUUGCCUCGCUCCCCGUGUGUUGUUUCCUUCUUUUCCUUUAGCUCUGCUCUCUGCAUCAAUUACUUAUUUCCAUGUAGAUCCUCUAGCUGGAUCUUUAGCUCUAACCAUUCCAUUAUCUGGCCCACCCACAGAAGUUAGCUCAGCAUUCUUGUUCUUGGCCUCCUUCUUCAUACUAGGGGAUCCAACCCAGGGCCUCCCACAUGCUAGGCCAGUGCUGUUCUACUGAGCUGCAUCUUCAGCCCAGCAAUCUCAUUCUUAAUGUAAGAACUAUUUCUUAUUUUUAGACUUUUUUUUUUUUAGCAUCUAGUCUUGUUUUAUGAAUGUAGUAUUGUUUUGAUUGCCUCUGAAGCAACUAAUUAGAGUUUCUUUAAAAGCUGUAUUUGGGUCCUUGAGUUUGUUACUUUAGGGCUUGGUCACUUCAGGCCUUCUCUCCUGCCUGGGUCUUCUAGAACUGAGAGGGCUGUGGCAUCUGAACGUUGGGAGUACUGCUGAGGGCAGUGUAGGCACCUGGCUAGGUUUUAUGCUCCAGAGGUCUGGCUGUGCGUCCUGCGUUCAGGUGAUCCUGUGGAGUUUGUCCACCUGCAGACCUCUCUGCAGGAGUUAGACCUCCCUGGAGGUGUCAGGCCUUCCUAGAAGUCCUGGGAUGCCACUUGCUCCCUAAUGGAGGUAGUUUAUGUCUGUGGCUGGACAGAGAAUGAGGGGGCUGCAAGGUCUCCCCCUAAAUUUUCCACCAAGGGGCUCCUGAUUGCUGACCUCAGCUUUUCCUGGGCCAACCCACAGGCAUAGGAAAUAACUGCAAGAAAUAACUGCAAAUAGCCUGGCUCUGACCAUCUCUCACCUGAUAGGUGGAGCGUGUGUCGCACCCGCUGCUGCAGCAGCAGUACCAGCUGCACCUGGAGCGCCUUGAGGAACGCUGCGUGCAGCGCCCUGUGGAGCGGGUCCUGUACCAUGGCACAUCGGCCUCCGCAGUGCCGGACAUCUGCGCGUUCGGUUUUAACCGCAGCUUCUGCGGCCGCAACGGUUAGGCCUAGGCUGGGCAGGGCUGGGGCUCCAUCAACCCCCAUCACUCUGACCUCUGCCGCUUCCGCCUUGCAGGUACGCUCUACGGGCAGGGUGUGUACUUCGCCAAGCGCGCCUCCCUAUCCGUGCAGGACCGCUACUCGCCUCCCAAUGCUGACGGCCACAAGGCGGUGUUUGUGGCACGGGUGCUGACGGGAGACUAUGCGCAGGGCCGCCGCGAUCUGCGGGCACCCCCUCUGCGGCCCUCUGGCCAUGUGCUCCUGCGCUACGACAGUGCUGUGGAUUGCCUCCAUCAGCCCAGCAUCUUUGUCAUCUUCCACGACACUCAGGCGCUGCCCACUCAUCUCAUCACCUGCGAGCACAUACCCCCGGCUUCCCUUGGGCUCUCGAGUCCCUCUCUGGCCACCUGACCCAAGGGGUUAGCCUGUGGCCUGCUGCUCUACAGGUUCCCCGUUCUACAAACCCCCCUUUCCUCCCUGGGGACGUUCCUGCUUCUUGUUGGGGAGCAGGAAUCCAGGCCGACCCGGAGGGCUGGGUCGGCCCAACCACCAGGGGUCAGCAAAGCCCAGCAGGAGGGUGCGCCGGCCUGACACGCCCGUCUUGGCUGGACCUCGUCUGAGCGCUUCUGUGUCUCUGAAUAAACGUGAAACCAGGCAGAACCUCCUGGCGUUCGGAAUCAGACCUCUGGAGAG